UACGUAGGGUGCGAGCGUUAAUCGGAAUUACUGGGCGUAAAGCGUGCGCAGGCGGUUUUGUAAGACAGGCGUGAAAUCCCCGAGCUUAACUUGGGAAUGGCGCUUGUGACUGCAAGGCUAGAGUAUGUCAGAGGGGGGUAGAAUUCCACGUGUAGCAGUGAAAUGCGUAGAGAUGUGGAGGAAUACCGAUGGCGAAGGCAGCCCCCUGGGACGUCACUGACGCUCAUGCACGAAAGCGUGGGGAGCGAACCGG
rnacentral:rRNA from 1 species